AAAUUGAAGAGUUUGAUCAUGGCUCAGAUUGAACGCUGGCGGCAGGCCUAACACAUGCAAGUCGAGCGGAAACGGCAGUAUUGAAGCUUCGGUGGAUUUACUGGACGUCGAGCGGCGGACGGGUGAGUAACGGCUGGGAACCUGCCCUGACGAGGGGGAUAACCGUUGGAAACGACGGCUAAUACCGCAUAAUGUCUACGGACCAAAGGUGGCCUCUACAUGUAAGCUAUCGCGUUGGGAUGGGCCCAGUUAGGAUUAGCUAGUUGGUAAGGUAAUGGCUUACCAAGGCGACGAUCCUUAGCUGGUUUGAGAGGAUGAUCAGCCACACUGGGACUGAGACACGGCCCAGACUCCUACGGGAGGCAGCAGUGGGGAAUAUUGCACAAUGGGGGAGACCCUG
rnacentral:ncRNA from 1 species